CGGGGGGCACUUAGGGGAGCAAAAUUCUCACCUUCUCCUGCUUUGCCAAGGACCACCUUGCUUCAACACGGAGGCGACACUACAAAGAUGACACCCAGGAGACUCUGCUCUGCUUUGGGAGGAAAUAGUGCCAGAGAGCACCCCGAGCCUGAAUCCUGGUUCCUGUAGUCACUUCCUCCUGCGCCAUCACCGGCCACUCAUUUUAACCUUGCUAAGCCCCAGCGUCUUCAUUUUGUAAAUGGAGGUGAUGAAAUGAACCAUCUUCUGAGAUCAUUUGCUCCCUAAAGAAUCACACUGCUGGCCUCCUAAUGGACUCUGGAGAGUUUCCAAAUUCAGCAUCUCCAAUCUGAUUUGAGUGGCUCUGCCUAAGUGCUUCCCCCUUAAGCCCAAGGAUGAUUAAGAGCAUUUCCGUGAUGAGCUCUAGCCGAGAGAAGAUUAGAGUUUAAUGGCUGCCGAAAGCCAAGGACUCAUGCCUGUGGCCCAGAAUUGCCUUCCUCUCUUCCCAGGGACCUGGUCCGGGGCUGGUGCAGGGCUCUGUGCGCACAUAGGAGGUGCUCAAUAAAUGCUUAGUGACCGA